CCCAUGACGUCAUCAUCAUCGUCGAAAUGUUUGAAGAGUUUCGUUUCCAGUGUACAACACUUUUGCUGCGCGUGAAGUCGGUUUUUUCCCGCCUCACAUAUUUCGGGAGAUUGGCAGCGCCCGCUUCUUCUGUACCAAUUGUGGUGGAUUGUGGUCCAAAGAGCAAAAGCAUUGGACGGACCGAUUGAUUCGCCCGUUUCUCGGCUGUCGGACGGUACCGUUCGACGUACGUUGCGAAGGACUUCGACUAUUGAAGGAAGAUGGAGAAGAUGGACCAUCAGUGUCACUCUGUGACUGAAGAAGAUUAUUACGAAUGGCUACUGACGGGAGAUCUACCCCUGGUCCUAACCUUCAAGCCUCCUCCAAAGACCUUCUUUUUGCGAAUCGGCGAUCAACUGACUACCUGUCGUUGCGGUGGACUCUGGU